rnacentral:lncRNA from 1 species
CAUUAUUGUCGAAUUGAAGGUACAAAUUUCCCUCCUUUUGAAUUUCCCCUAAAAAUUAGCUUAUAAAUUUCAGCAAACUAUUAAAGAGAAUUAUAGCUUUGAGGGGCAUAAAACUUGGAAAUCCCAAUUUGUCCCGCCUUUUUUUAGUUGACAAACCUAUAGAAAUUCAAAAAAUUAAGUAGCUUGGUGUGAGAUAAUAUAACCUUGACAGUAUUUAAGGGGCCUAAGAAGAGUGUGGUUCUGUGUUCAAUUCUACCUACUGUAAGACAAAUUAUUGUAGGCUUCUACAUUUGCAUAAAAAGAAUUGUUUAGGUGUUCUGAGGUUUUAUCAGGCCAUCUGGUUGGGCUUUGUAGAUGUUACUAUUUUCUUUUAGUGUUACGUUCCUGUCAUUUAUCUAUUCAUUUGAUUAGCAACAGUGUUGUAUUUAUUAUCCCAACUGAAAUUCAUGAUUCCUUGCAUAGUUCUUGUUGGCCCUGUAGGACUUGGUUUCGGGUACAUGAGGUAAGUAAUAUUCCCAAAAUUGGUUUGUACUACUACUUUUUUCUCCUUUAAUUCAGUCUUGUUGUUCUUCAUAUAUAUAUAUAACAAAAUACAAAGAUACAUUUGAUUUGGGGUUAAAUGUCUUAAAUUACUGAUAAAGUCUUACAUCAAAACACAAUAAGAAUGAUUAAGAAAUAUAAUAGUCAAAUGGACUAAUAUUAUAUAGUUCUAGAUGAGCUUAUAUGAGCAUUACAUAUUUCCCAACAAGAUUUUUGAGUUUUUGUUGGGGUUUUUGAGUUUAGGUGCUGUAAAAUUGUUUUUCUUGCAUCCAUUUUAGGUUGCAUAGUUUAUAGAAAGAUUUCUCUUUAUAGUUAGAGAUCACAGAGAGAGAAUAAUUAAUGCAUAAAGAAUUCUUGGAUUUUAAUAGUAUAUGAAGUUUAAAAAUGUGGCUUCAGUUGGGCCAAUUUCAAAUUUUGAAUUUAAGUUGUUAUCAGUAACUAAUUACCUCUAAUUUCUAUUCAGAGGAGGGCUCAUGUCUUGAUUGUAUGCUAAAUUGAAAUUUUUUCAACCUAAACAUAAAUAAACCAUUUUGAAUAUUUAAUUUAUCAGGAAAACCCAUAUUUACCGGAAAUGGGGUUGUGUAAAGAAAAUAGAAUUAAAAUAAAACUAAAUUGCCUAGAGAGAUCUACACACCUUAUUAAAACACAAAAAGUCUUGAUAAAGGAAGUUUUCCCAUGAAUGAGGAGGCAUGGGAGGAAGGAGGGAGUAGCUUUAGGUUAUUAUCUAUUUACGUGUUAUUUUCUGCUGCUUGGCUUAAUUGACCAGCCAACCCAACCCAUAUAAUAAAUCCCUUUGCAUCCCCCCAUGUGUUUAACUUCAAAUCCAUUUGCAUUAAAUUUUCCAUUGUGGUUGGUGUUAUUUGGAAAAUGUUUCAUUCAAUGUAUAGCUAGAGGGCAUGCAUUUAUAUAGGAGUAUAAUGUUAGUAUUGAUAUUAAUGUUAAUUAUAGGGUCGGGGCGACAUGGUCUUCCAAAAUGAUCGUUAGCCUUGAAUUUGAAAUAACUACUCUUGUUAAUGAUAUAUAAGGGCAUUUAAUUAAAAUGAAAGUGCAGCUAACAGAUGAUCUAAUUUUGUUAACAUGGAUGGAUGUUCGUUAACCCUUCAGAUUCUCAAAGGCCUGUUAUGAAGUUAAGUACAACAGCUAAUAUGAGGACAAAACACAAGAGUUUUCCAACACUGAUAAAGUUCAUGAAUCCUGUAUUUGGCAUCAAUUAUUCUCAUAUAACCAUCAAUGGAGGUUAUAUGUAGGGGUGUUAGCCGAGCAGAGUAGCUCGAUAUUCGUCUCGAGAUCGGUUCGAAAAUAUGAUCCAAAACUCAAAUUCGAAGUUGAUUCGAGUCGAAUAUGAUCCAUACUCAUUUUUUGUUUAAUGAUACACGAGUCGAAUUCGAGUAUACCAGUAUUCGCUCAUGUUAGGGUUCGAGUAUUUCAUUUUUUCUCGAAACAUACUCGAUACCUGCUCGAUGGAUCAUAUUCGAAUACUGGUCUGAUCCAUACUAACAAGAUAAAUAUGUGAUAUUUGUAUCAAUCUUUAUAAUUUAUAAAGGGUAGUAUUAAAUUGUGUAAGCUUGUACUUGAAUAAAUCAGUGAAUUGAUUGUCAAUUCGUAUUACAUUCUUUGUAAUUUCUUUACAUAAAUAAAAGUAAAAGACUUUUAUAUAUAAACAUUAGUUCAAUAAUCAAUUUUGUAUGUAGUGGUUCAAUAUUAAGUGAAAUGGUUCAUAUUAAAAACUCGAUUUGAAGGCUCAUGAGUAACUCAUUUCGUAAACGAGUCGAGUACUUACGAGCCGAGUAGGUCCGAGUAAUGAUCCGAGUCGAAUCUGGCGCAAAAUUAGAAAUUCCUUAUCGAAUUCGAGCUCAAUUUUUUCGAGUCGAGCCGAAUCUGAGCAUUAGUGUUCGCUGAGAUUCGACUCGUUUUCAUCCCUAGUUAUAUGCAGGGGUAAGUAUUUCAUACUUCGAUCUAUGACAUAUAAAUAUGAAUAUAAAAACAUACAUUAGUGUCAUUAUGUGAAAUAUUAUCUCCAACAAUAUAUGCACAAUACAAGAAAAUAUGAAAUAUUUCACACUUUGAACCAAAUUCAGUUUAUUGAGGGGUUCUAACUAGCAUGAUCUAAUUAUGUCUUGGCUUUCUUUUUUAUCCCAUUGUCCAGCUUUUGUGAAGUAAGUAAGAGCGUAUAUGCUGUAGAUAUUCAAGCAAAUGAUGAUAUAAUAUCUGUUAAUGUUCUUGAAAACAUAACCAAGGAUGUUGUAGGAAACGGAAAUUUAGCAUCUACUAUUUUACAAGUGAGACUGUAAGAAAUUUAUAUACUUUCUUUUUAUUGUUUGCUUUUGUUUAAGAUCAAUUUGAAAUAUUUCAGAACACAUUUUCUUCUAAAAUUAUUGUGUGUUUGCUUAUCUGCCUAAUCAAUAAUUUACAGAUUCUUUACUUGCUAUAUCAUUGGUACUUUCUUGCUUCGCAACUGUUGCUUUCAUAUUGACAACCUUAUUUACAUGACUGCUCAUUGUUUCAAUUGCAAGCCUUCAAUCUAUUGGCGCUUUUAUUAGACGGACUUCUGUAUUAACUUCUAAUCCUACAAGGAAUCCUUUUGUAUGGCUUUCCAUUCGUUUUCUUUGAACACUUGGUACCUGAUAGACACACGGUAUUGGUAGCAGAUUCUUGCUCAGGUUUGGAAUUGUUCACAUAAAUAACUACUCUUGUUAAUUUCGUCUAUAGAAUACAUUGUAUGGAUUCCGUGAGCUUAAAUAAGUUCGGCUUACUUCUAUGAUUUUUAGAUUUCAAAAUUUUACUUAUUAUUGUAAUAUAUGAUUUCAAGAGAUUAAUACAAGACUAUCU